UGCAGAAUCCCGUGAACCAUCGAGUCUUUGAACGCAAGUUGCGCCUGAAGCCAUUAGGCUAAAGGCACGUCUGCUUGGGCGUCACAC
rnacentral:rRNA from 1 species